GACAGAGGGUGCAAACGUUGUUCGGAAUUACUGGGCGUAAAGCGCGUGUAGGCGGUCCGGUAAGUCCGCUGUGAAAGUCGGGGGCUCAACCCUCGAAUGCCGGUGGAUACUGUCGGGCUAGAGUGCGGAAGAGGCGAGUGGAAUUCCUGGUGUAGCGGUGAAAUGCGCAGAUAUCAGGAGGAACACCUAUUGCGAAGGCAGCUCGCUGGGACGUAACUGACGCUGAGACGCGAAAGCGUGGGGAGCAAACAGG
rnacentral:rRNA from 1 species